AUGAGACAGUGGACUGCCACGUGGGCCAGCCCUGAGCACCUGAAAUACUAGCUAGACAACGGACUGGUUUUAAACUGACACAGGGAGAGAAUGAGACAGUGGACUGCCACGUGGGCCAGCCCUGAGCACCUGAAAUACUAGCUAGACAACGGACUGGUUUUAAACUGACACAGGGAGAGAAUGAGACAGUGGACUGCCACGUGGGCCAGCCCUGAGCUCCUGAAUUACUAGCUAGACAACGGACUGGUUUUAAACUGACACAGGGAGAGAAUGAGACAGUGGACUGCCACGUGGGCCAGCCCUGAGCACCUGAAAUACUAGCUAGACAACGGACUGGUUUUAAACUGACACAGGGAGAGAAUGAGACAGUGGACUGCCACGUGGGCCAGCCCUGAGCUCCUGAAUCACUAGCUAGACAACGGACUGGUUUUAAACUGACACAGGGAGAGAAUGAGACAGUGGACUGUCACGUGGGCCAGCCCUGAGCUCCUGAAUUACUAGCUAGACAACAGACUGGUUUUAAACUGACACAGGGAGAGAAUGAGACAGUGGACUGUCACGUGGGCCAGCCCUGAGCUCCUGAAUUACUAGCUAGACAACAGACUGGUUUUAAACUGACACAGGGAGAGAAUGAGACAGUGGACUGUCACGUGGGCCAGCCAUGAGCUCCUGAAUUACUAGCUAGACAACGGACUGGUUUUAAACUGACACAGGGAGAGAAUGAGACAGUGGACUGUCACGUGGGCCAGUCCUGAGCUCCUGAAUUACUAGCUAGACAACGGACUGGUUUUAAACUGACACAGGGAGAGAAUGAGACAGUGGACUGUCACGUGGGCCAGCCCUGAGCUCCUGAAUUACUAGCUAGACAACGGACUGGUUUUAAACUGACACAGGGAGAGAAUGAGACAGUGGACUGUCACGUGGGCCAGCCCUGAGCUCCUGAAUUACUAGCUAGACAACAGACUGGUUUUAAACUGACACAGGGAGAGAAUGAGACAGUGGACUGUCACGUGGGCCAGCCAUGAGCUCCUGAAUUACUAGCUAGACAUUUCACCCUUUGACAGAGGAACAGAGGAACAGAGAAACAGAGAACAAACCAUUUGUCAUUGCACACAUUGUUUUGUUUUUUGUCGUUUAUUUUAUAUUUGUAAACUAAUUUGACAUGUAUUUACUCUACUCUUGUAUAUGAAACCGUGAGAGAAGCACAGAAGGUCACAGAAGUAUUCUUUUUUUACAUGGUGUUUAAUAGUGUAAAUCUCCAUGUGGGAUGGUCAGUCGUCACCAGAACCUCUUGUUAUUAGCUGACCCAUAGAAUCACUAGAACGGGUAUAGGCCCUCAGACCAUGUCAAUUUCACAGGAGAUUAUAUUUCUAUGGGCAGACCUAAACUAAGCUAGAAAGUGGUCUUUGUCAUUCUGUCUUUAAAUGACCUCAGAUGGAGACUACAGGACCAUUAUGCCACAAGUUCUACAAGUUUACCAGAAAAAUCUGUAAAAUAUUCAUAGGAAACUGUAUUAGUUGGAAUCCACUUACCUAACACAUUCAUUAAGCCUACAGCAGACUACAUUGGUGUAAAGUCAGACCUUGGCUUUUUUCUGACUUUUUGGAUGUUAGUGAUAUUGGUCUACCAAUGGUUAUUGUUAAAUGUCUGAGUAGUCCUAAUUAAGUGUUCAGUAAUGGAGUAGGGUGACGUUGCCCCUAGAUGCCGAUCUUGGGUCAGUUUUUAACUUCUCCCACUAAUGGUUAAUGUUAGGAUUGGGGAGGGGAAGCCGAUUCCAGAUCUGGACUUAGGGGAAACUUCCCACAGGGGCAUCAAUUGUACAAGGAAUUGAAAAAUAAGCUUAUUUCGACUCUGAAGAUGUUUUGGUGUUUCUGUCUCUCAUCAUGAUGGUCCAAUCAUGUCAAAGGUUACAGUUUCAUUCAGUUUGAACCUUCAAAAGGAGCUUCUUCUCUGUACAGCGUCUCCAUGUCGGUCCCUCAAGUUUAAUUUCAUAACGAUUUCAUGCUCAAUGAAUGUUUUUUUUUGCCAAAUAGGUACGAUGUUAUAUGCUGAAAAACAGCACAAUGUUUUGUAAAGUGCACAAUGCAGUCUGGUACCCCCCCGUUAGACGGUACUCUUCCACCUUGGCCACCCCCACCCCCCAAAAAAAUAGGUCCCCCGGCUAUGAAAAUGGCAGCGCCCGCCCUUGUACUAUGCAGCCCUUAUUACUUAAUGUACUUUGACCAUUUCUGGCUUCAUUCCAUUCAUUUGACUGGAUGAUAUAAACUAACAAUGCAUCCUUUAUUUGAGAUGAUUCAGGAGAGAUGACAACACUGUUGAUCAGAAAAUAGGAUCGGUCUUACUCUGGGAGGCUAUUUUUAUAGAACUCAACAUUAUCGCCCCACAUAUACUUUCUGUAUAUAUAUUUAAUUGAAUAUAUUAAAUGGAUCUUCUAAGGCUUGCUUCUAAAGGGGUUUGUGAAUAGAAAUGACUGCAAUAAAAUGGAAUGUGAUCUUGGUCAUAAGCUCUCAGACAACGGAACCUGCUCCCUCGACUGACCCGGCAUCAGUGGGCCCCAUUACAACACUAACGAAAACCAAACCAAGUGUUAUUUGUGACAUGCUUUGUAAAGAACUGGUGUAGUCUAACAGUGAAAUGCUUACUUACCCUUUCCAACAAUGUAGAGAGAACGAUAAUAACACAAGGAAUAAAUCCACAAUGAGUAAAGAUAACUUGGCUUUAUACACGGGGCACCAGUACGGAGUUGAUGUGCAGGGAAUGAGGUAGAUAUGUACAUAUAGGUAGGGGUUAAGUGACUUGGCAAUAGGAUAGAUAAUAAGCACUAGCAGCAGCGUAUGUGAUGAGUCAAGAGUUGAUGCAAAAGGGGGUCAGUGCAGAUAGUUUGGGUAGCUAUUUGGUUCACUAUUUAGCAAUCUUAAGGUUUGGGGGUAGAAGCUGUUCAGGGUUCUAUUGGUUUCAGACUUGAUGCAUAGGUACCGCUUGUCUAUGCAUGAGGCCCAGUGAUGUACUGGGCCUCAUGCACUGUAGCGCCUUGCGGUUGGAUGCUAAGCAGUUGCCAUAUCAAGCGAUGAUGCAGCCAGUCAAGAUGGUGCAGCUGUAGAACUUUAUGAGGAUCUGAGGGCCCAGGCCAAAUCUUUUCAUCCUCCUGAGGGGGAAGAGGUGUUGUCGUGCCUUCUUCACGACCGUGUUGGUUUGUUUGGACCAUGUUAAUUCCUUAGUGAUGUGGAUGCCGAGGAACGAGACGCUCUCAACCCGCUCCACUACAGCCGAGUGCUACGGGGCGAUAGUGAUUUAGACGGGUUACCUUGGCAUUCUUGGACACAGGGUCUAUGGUGGUCUGCUUGAAACAUGUAGGUAUUACAGACUGGGUCCUGGAGAGGUUGAAAAUGUCUGAAGACACUUGCCAGCUGAUCAGAGCAUGCUCUUUGUACCCGUCCUGUGAACCCAUCUGACCCCGCGGUGAAUGUUAAUCUGUUUUAAAGGUCUUACUCACAUCGGCUAUGGCGAGCGAAAUCAAACAGUCGUCCGGAACAGCUGGUGCUCUCGUGCAUUCCGCUAGGCGAGCAUUUCGCUCGUCUGGUAGACUUCCGUCACUAGGCAGCUCAUGACUGGGUUUCCCUUUCUAAUCCUUGAUCGUUUGCAAGCUCUGCCACAUCCGAGUGUCAGAACCGGUGUAGUAGGAUUCGAUUUUAGUCCUGUAUCGAGGCUUUGCCUGGUUGACGGCUCGUCAGAGGUCGUAGUGGGAUUUAGUGUCCCUGCUCCUUGAAAGCGGUAGCUCGAUGUGGCAAUGACUGCACGUCGUAAAACUUGCCCUAAAAUGCAGACCUGGGAUCAACUCUAGCCUGCACCAAUCUUAACCGGAUCCUUUCAGGUGAAAAGCAAAACUGAUCUGAGAUCAGGACUUUGAGACAACAACAGUCUGAGUAUGUGCUCAGUUAAACCGGUUUUAUUACUCUGGGUCAAUCCAUUUGCAAUAAGGUGCAGUAGCUUCAGUUUGAGCUCCAGAUUUAGGCUGCAUCAUUACCUGGCUGACAGACUUCUGACAUUUCCUGAGGCAGGGAGGGUUCUGGUCGGGUGACGUCUCACACAGUGCUUUGAAAGUCCCACCUCCAUCCUUCCCCUUUCAGUUUUCUUCGGGGCCAGUGGCACAGGAGGUUUUGCCAUGGCAACAAGCAAGGAAAGAGGGCCAGGAAAAAGCAGACACUCGUUCCUUUAGCCAGGUGUUUAAGUGUUCUGAAACUGUGCUCCUGUGACUGUCCCUCACCCAACCCUGGGUCUUGUUCAUUAUACACCAAACAGACUGAAGCAGAGGGAAUAUAUGGAUUUAGUCCAAUAAGAAAGGCUUGUUUUGAUUUAGUUUUAAUUUACAACACUAAAGCUUUUUGCUUGUGUUCGCUAAUGAAUAUGGCCCUGGACUAGCACCUGCAACUACUACUGCCAGCCCUGUUCUGUACCAGACUGACCAAUGAUGACAGGGUAAAACAAACCAUUGAAGGCCAAACAUGGAAUUAAAGUUGGUUAAAAACAUGGCUCUGACUCGUGUCGUUCUUUCGUCGUCCAGCUCCCCGUCUCCUCCUUUACCGCAGAAAUAGAACAGUAGGCCUACAUUCCUGACAUGGAAUGCUUCAUUCUCUCGACCCACAUGUUAUUAGCCACUUCAUGAGCUUGUUCAGCUUAGUCCAUG
ensembl:lncRNA